AGGAGGAACAGCCCCAGUGGCGGGGCAGCUCUGGAAACCUGGAGUCAGCCCCCGCAGGAACUCCGGAGCUCUCCGUCUGCAGGGCCUGGAGGCUCCGGGGCGGG
rnacentral:pre_miRNA from 1 species